rnacentral:rRNA from 1 species
UUUAUCGGAGAGUUUGAUCCUGGCUCAGGACGAACGCUGGCGGCGUGCCUAAUACAUGCAAGUCGAGCGGACAGAUGGGAGCUUGCUCCCUGAUGUUAGCGGCGGACGGGUGAGUAACACGUGGGUAACCUGCCUGUAAGACUGGGAUAACUCCGGGAAACCGGGGCUAAUACCGGAUGGUUGUCUGAACCGCAUGGUUCAGACAUAAAAGGUGGCUGCGGCUACCACUUACAGAUGGACCCGCGGCGCAUUAGCUAGUUGGUGAGGUAACGGCUCACCAAGGCGACGAUGCGUAGCCGACCUGAGAGGGUGAUCGGCCACACUGGGACUGAGACACGGCCCAGACUCCUACGGGAGGCAGCAGUAGGGAAUCUUCCGCAAUGGACGAAAGUCUGACGGAGCAACGCCGCGUGAGUGAUGAAGGUUUUCGGAUCGUAAAGCUCUGUUGUUAGGGAAGAACAAGUGCCGUUCAAAUAGGGCGGCACCUUGACGGUACCUAACCAGAAAGCCACGGCUAACUACGUGCCAGCAGCCGCGGUAAUACGUAGGUGGCAAGCGUUGUCCGGAAUUAUUGGGCGUAAAGGGCUCGCAGGCGGUUUCUUAAGUCUGAUGUGAAAGCCCCCGGCUCAACCGGGGAGGGUCAUUGGAAACUGGGGAACUUGAGUGCAGAAGAGGAGAGUGGAAUUCCACGUGUAGCGGUGAAAUGCGUAGAGAUGUGGAGGAACACCAGUGGCGAAGGCGACUCUCUGGUCUGUAACUGACGCUGAGGAGCGAAAGCGUGGGGAGCGAACAGGAUUAGAUACCCUGGUAGUCCACGCCGUAAACGAUGAGUGCUAAGUGUUAGGGGGUUUCCGCCCCUUAGUGCUGCAGCUAACGCAUUAAGCACUCCGCCUGGGGAGUACGGUCGCAAGACUGAAACUCAAAGGAAUUGACGGGGGCCCGCACAAGCGGUGGAGCAUGUGGUUUAAUUCGAAGCAACGCGAAGAACCUUACCAGGUCUUGACAUCCUCUGACAAUCCUAGAGAUAGGACGUCCCCUUCGGGGGCAGAGUGACAGGUGGUGCAUGGUUGUCGUCAGCUCGUGUCGUGAGAUGUUGGGUUAAGUCCCGCAACG